AGGAUGGUGCUGGGGCAGAUGGAGUGAGAGUGACUUUCAAGCUCACUUAAAUAUGGGAGUUCUUAUAUGUCUGACAAACUCUUGAUGUCCUGAGUGCAAAAUAUCUAGCUAUUUAAACUGUUGACUUGGAAAAAAUGCCUUUGGGAAAAUGACACCAAAUAGUAUUAAAUAAUAGCAAAAGGAGAGAGAUGACCAGGGAAAAUGAUCCACAUAUUUGCUGAAGAUAAGUACA
rnacentral:lncRNA from 1 species